AACGAACGCUGGCGGCAUGCCUAACACAUGCAAGUCGAGCGAGACCUUCGGGUCUAGUGGCGCACGGGUGCGUAACGCGUGGGAAUCUACCCUUGGGUUCGGAAUAACAGUUAGAAAUGACUGCUAAUACCGGAUGAUGACGUAAGUCCAAAGAUUUAUCGCCCAAGGAUGAGCCCGCGUAAGAUUAGCUUGUUGGUGGGGUAAUGGCCUCCCAAGGCGACGAUCUUUAGCUGGUCUGAGAGGAUGAUCAGCCACACUGGGACUGAGACACGGCCCAGACUCCUACGGGAGGCAGCAGUGGGGAAUAUUGGACAAUGGGCGAAAGCCUGAUCCAGCAAUGCCGCGUGAGUGAUGAAGGCCUUAGGGUUGUAAAGCUCUUUUACCAGGGAUGAUAAUGACAGUACCUGGAGAAUAAGCUCCGGCUAACUCCGUGCCAGCAGCCGCCGCGG
rnacentral:rRNA from 1 species